AUCUUUGCGCAGAGGCAGUGUCGCACCCAAUGAGGUCUGGCCGAGGGGCGACUAUUGCUAGUUGAAAAUUAAUGAGUGACAGAA
rnacentral:snRNA from 1 species